rnacentral:lncRNA from 1 species
GGUUCUAACGCUAUCAUUUUCUCUACCACUCUCACUUUCAUCUUCUAGCCGUUGACCUGGGAGGGGAACCAAGCUUACACACUACGGUUGGAUAAAGGGUCAGUUAAGUGGGGUGCCAGGUGGUGCACGAGGCUGUGGUCCUGAGGGUGCUCGGAAGCGAAUCUGAUAAAACCAGGCGUAGCUCCGCCCAGAGAGUGCCGGCCUCAGCCUAAAGAGUUCCACACUGCUUCCUCACCUUCGCCAAGCCACUUCCACCUCCUGUGCCCUGGCCUUCAUUCAAGCCGGAAUGGGCUGAGGAACAUCAUACAGACAAAGAAGUUGGCAUGACCUUUGUCAGUUUUGAGGGAGACCUUUGGCAAGCGGUCUCUGUCAAGCUCACAUUUGUUUGUAGCCCUAAACUCGUUUAAACGAAUAGAGCAGGAAUCUGCUCCAGGAAUCUGAGACGAAAGGAAGGUCUGAUGCUGUCUCCCUAAGAGCUGGUGAGG